rnacentral:rRNA from 1 species
UACGGAGGAUGCAAGCGUUAUCCGGAUUUAUUGGGUUUAAAGGGUGCGUAGGAGGAUAUGUAAGUCAGCGGUGAAACUCACAGGCUCAACCUGUGCCGUGCCGUUGAAACUGUGUAUCUGGAAUGCGGAUGCUGUGGGAGGAAUGUGUAGUGUAGCGGUGAAAUGCAUAGAUAUUACACAGAACACCGAUUGCGAAGGCAUCUCACAAAGCCGUUAUUGACGCUGAGGCACGAAAGUGUGGGGAUCAAACA